ensembl:snRNA U6 U6 spliceosomal RNA
GUGCUUGCUUGGGCAGCAUAUAUACUAAAAUUGGAAUGAUACAGAGAAGACUAGCAUGGCCCCUGCACAAAGAUGAUGCACAAACUCGUGAUCAUUCCAUAUUUUU